rnacentral:rRNA from 1 species
UUACUCUACCGGCCGUAGAAGUCAAGUCCAACCGGCGAACCAGUACACGCCGACAUAUCUACCAACAAGAACAAGACUACUACAAGUACUUAAACAACAACUACAAUUGGGCGAAUAUCGGACAAGCAACAAUACAGCGCAGUUCCACACGAGAGCAACAGUUCAGAAUAAGUUAAUAACACGACUGGACACACCAGGGAACCACACAAGAUUCCGGUUGGACGUCGUACCGAUAGAGUGCUCGAGUGGCAACGUACCAAACUAGACUAAAACACACCAAGAUCGGCCACGAAUUUAAAACAGGUGUAUAAAUACCUACUUCGGGUGUGUAUGUAUGAGUACCUAAACUAAAACGCGAUACGGGAAAUCUUGUUAGUUCGAUAGUCCACUCUUAACUAAGCACCGAGAAAGAAAAAAACUUAACCAACAAUACACCAAGAACCCCUGAGUUUGAGACAAGGUAAAGAAAAAAUGGAGGAUAAAUACCUGAGUGAAAACAAUCCCUCAGCUAACUCCUGGUUUACCCAUAGAACAGCGAGUAGAGGUCGUUUAGUCCGCAGUUAGACAGGUACCGCCUCGUCUCUUACGCACUGGUGUUGGGUGGGUUGACUGUCAUUAGGAAACAAGAACGUAACGUAACGUUGGAGUACGAACUGACGUGUAGAACCAACACACUACACUACCCUUGUAUAUAACAGUAUGGGAGAAGAUACACAACAAAGCCCUACGAAUAUACGUAUGAACGAUUUUCUUGAUAUGUACAAGAAAAGAAUAUUUCAAGUCUAGACUGUUGGUUCCCUUGUAAUGGGUAGUUGAUUUCUGUGUCAUGCUUCUAUUGGGUCAUUUUUUAUGAGUCAAGAAGUACGGCUAAUUUUUUUGUUAAUUGGUCAGGGAGGAAAAUUUAACCAACGAAACGAUAUAACGAUCCAAACUUCCGCCCGAUCCAAGUUAAAAAAUUCUACUCGAUCCAAACUACUACGUGGAAUUCGUUAUCAAAUACUUAUACGGUUAAUGACACCGACCGACACUGUAAGAAUUUACUCUUCAUCUGUCCGGAACAUAUUCUACGUAAUAUGUCAAGAUUAGUUCAUUAAUACCUGUACAAGUUAAUAUCCGGUUCGGGAAACCACACGAUUUACUAAUUUACAACAAUAGAUUGACUUCGUGAACCUUGAAGACACGUCUCCCAAUAAAAAAGGAAAUUUGUUUACUUACAGUCGAGUAUUGUAUACUGCUACGAUAGGAUUGACCGAUUAAUUAAACCGGCAUACUUCAACAUAUAAAUUCGGCGUCCACAAACAACAUCACGUACCUCAAAUAGCACUACCGGGAAAACUCAGAGGGGAAAGACAAGCUUGAAGUUGUCUUUUGAUUGGUUUCUAAUUGUUCGUACUAUACCAUUUAAAUUUAACAGUUAAAAUUUGAAGUAUGAUAUUAUAAAAUGUAGACUAACCACGAGUACAGAUACAUAAGAUUGUAAAAUAAACGAACUGUGGGAAGUUCAACUUUUAUUUGAUACUCAGUAACUACUGUAAUGACUGACUGACACAACAUAAUAUCCUGAUUGAUAUUCAUUUGAAAAAGUUCAGUCGUAUAACACUACAAUCGUACGGGGGACUUCCUGACGCCCUCAAGAACGGUGCGAAUUAUGUUUGAAACCACAGUUUGUACCAGAUGUGACUGCUACUACUUAGUGAACAACUACGACUCCAAACUUCUGCCCGAUCCAAGUUUUAAAAUUCUACCCGAUCCAAAGUGAUCGCACACGGUAGCUGAACCAGAGUUGGUAGAAUCCCGUUGGGCAGCGAAAUCCCUCUACCGCCAGGGAAACUGCCGGAGGCCCGAGCCGAGUUACUAACCCUGGCCAGUAGCAACCACCGCCGCUUCCACCAUACCUCAAAACUGGUACCUUCUCGGGCAUGUUGAGUCUUCCGUUUCAACCCUUCGAGGAUGUUUCCAUUUACGAAACCAUGUACGUAUAUCUACGAACUAGUAAAUAACACUUAAUAACUCUUUAUUUCUUUAUUACGCGAGAACUCUAAACAAACAACACUUUCCAUUUAAUAACAAGAUCUAAACGUGUCUAUGGUAGGUAAUAUAUGGUUACACAAGUGAAGACAUGACGGCGUCCGAUACCGUAAUCGGGUAAUCAUAAUGUACAACACACCAGACUGAUAAUGUUACGUAUAGAUCUUCAUAGAUAGUGCUCCGUUGAUCGGACUUUCACCUAGAUGGUGCACGACGAGGACAGGGGAGAGGGAGUUAAGUAGGAGUACCUAGACUGUUCCACUGACAGAGGAAGAGACGAGAGUUGCGGAGAUUAAACAAAGAAUUUUAAGUUGAUAAAGAUACAAAGAUGGAUAACGGAGACAGUUACGUUACCGAAUUCGGGGGUCCAUCGACGUAUUAAGUAAGUACAGUACGCAAUUUGUUUAGCUAAGAUGAGUUAUGGAGAAUGGGUGAUUAACUCGUAGUUAUAUCUGACUAAUAAUGACGAAUUUCUUUAGUGAUUUACAUAGUCGUACUAACGAACACGAGUCUGUUAUUAUAAAUAAAGUACAAUUAGAUGUUUACAAGAAAUGGUGUACUUCUAAAGUGUUACCUAACGAAUGAUCGAACCAAAACAAGACAUUGUAUUCAAUGUACUGUGACUUUGUACGUAUCGGGUGUAUCAAAGAAAAGUACAUAUUAACAAAGAAAACAAGUGACCUACGAAGUAAUGAUUUAGAGAUGUAAACACGUAUAGAAGAUAGACUGGAUUGUGUGUACAUGAUGUAUAACGGUACUCAAAGUUUUUAAUCUACAAGGACCUCUAUAAGGUUUAAACUAAUAGAUACGGAUAAACUACUGGUUGAAGGAAGAUUCUUUUUUUUGGGUCGUAGAUAGAGUCAAUGAAGGGAAAAUACAUAUUAUCCAUGAAAGUAAUUCACGUACGAACUAAUCAUUUUGAAAUGUAAAUGUGUAUACAUAGAAUGGAUUCUGUACAGAUGGUGUUAGGACAAAAAAGAUACCCGUAACUUAUUACUCGCUACCUCCGACAUAUAGUACUCCAGCAAGCCGUACCUAUCCCGAGCAGUACGCCGCGGCAGGAGGGCUGGAGGAAGGGUAGUAUCGGAAUACCCUUAACCGAAUGUUUCACUCAAAUAUGAAAUUUAGUAUAGGAAAGAAUUAUAUACACGAACAGGUAAGUCCAAAUAGAAGCGAACCUUAACCACCUUCGUUAAAAUAGGGGGUAAAAGAAAGAGAUACAAGACAAAAGAUUCGUUGUAUUCACCACAGUUAUUAUACACUAUGAACACGUAAAGAUAGAAAUCCGUCCUGUAGGAAAAGUGUUGUUCUCUACUUUUACGAGGAUAACAUGGAAGCGAAAAUACAAUCGCACACAACGAAAACUUGUUAACAGAAAAUACAGCGGUAAGUACAUUUGAUGUUC